GGUAUAGCGUAAUGGUUAGCGCAACGGACUCUGACUCCGUUGGUCGGGGUUCGAAUCCCUGUAC
rnacentral:tRNA from 1 species